rnacentral:tRNA from 1 species
UCCUGGCUGGCUCAAUCAGAAGAGCCUGCGACUCUUGAUCUCAGGGUCGUGGGUUCGAGCCCCACGAUGGGUG